CUACAGGCUUAACACAUGCAAGUCGAGGGGAAACGAUAUUGGAAGCUUGCUUCCGAUAGGCGUCGACCGGCGCACGGGUGAGUAACGCGUAUCCAACCUGCCCACCACUUGGGGAUAACCUUGCGAAAGUAAGACUAAUACCCAAUGAUAUCUCUAGGAGACAUCUGAAAGAGAUUAAAGAUUUAUCGGUGAUGGAUGGGGAUGCGUCUGAUUAGCUUGUUGGCGGGGUAACGGCCCACCAAGGCAACGAUCAGUAGGGGUUCUGAGAGGAAGGUCCCCCACAUUGGAACUGAGACACGGUCCAAACUCCUACGGGAGGCAGCAGUGAGGAAUAUUGGUCAAUGGACGAGAGUCUGAACCAGCCAAGUAGCGUGCAGGAAGACGGCCCUAUGGGUUGUAAACUGCUUUUAUAAGGGAAUAAAGUGAGUCUCGUGAGACUUUUUGCAUGUACCUUAUGAAUAAGGACCGGCUAAUUCCGUGCCAGCAGCCGCGGUAAUACGGAAGGUCCGGGCGUUAUCCGGAUUUAUUGGGUUUAAAGGGAGCGUAGGCCGGAGAUUAAGCGUAUUGUGAAAUGUAGACGCUCAACGUCUGCACUGCAGCGCGAACUGGUUUCCUUGAGUACGCACAAAGUGGGCGGAAUUCGUGGUGUAGCGGUGAAAUGCUUAGAUAUCACGAAGAACUCCGAUUGCGAAGGCAGCUCACUGGAGCGCAACUGACGCUGAAGCUCGAAAGUGCGGGUAUCGAACAGGAUUAGAUACCCUGGUAGUCCGCACGGUAAACGAUGGAUGCCCGCUGUUGGUCUGAAUAGGUCAGCGGCCAAGCGAAAGCAUUAAGCAUCCCACCUGGGGAGUACGCCGGCAACGGUGAAACUCAAAGGAAUUGACGGGGGCCCGCACAAGCGGAGGAACAUGUGGUUUAAUUCGAUGAUACGCGAGGAACCUUACCCGGGCUUGAAUUGCAGAGGAAGGAUUUGGAGACAAUGACGCCCUUCGGGGCCUCUGUGAAGGUGCUGCAUGGUUGUCGUCAGCUCGUGCCGUGAGGUGUCGGCUUAAGUGCCAUAACGAGCGCAACCCCUCUCCUUAGUUGCCAUCAGGUCAAGCUGGGCACUCUGGGGACACUGCCACCGUAAGGUGUGAGGAAGGUGGGGAU
rnacentral:rRNA from 1 species